rnacentral:sRNA from 1 species
AGAGCUCUUUCUGCCUCCCUGAGAUGCCACAAAGCCAGGCUGAGUCCACAGAGCCAGUGGGCAGAAGAGACUGGCUGGGGACCCAGGCCCGGCCCUGGCGCCUGCCUGGGUGGACCUGCUGGGUGAGCGUGGGCACGUGGCCGGCCUUCCCCGGUGACCUCCUUCAGCACACCCCCCACCCCAGAACGGAACAACCGGCCCGCCUUCUUCUCCCCAUCCCUCAAGAGGAAGGUGCCCCGGAACCGGAUCGCUGAGAUGAAGAAGUCGCACUCGGCCAACGACAGUGAGGAGUUCUUCCGGGAGGACAACGGUGGAGCCGAUCUGCACAACGCAACCAACCUGCGGUCUCGGUCCCUGUCGGGCACAGGACGGUCCCUGGUCGGGUCCUGGCUGAAGCUGAACAGAGCAGAUGGAAACUUCCUUCUCUAUGCACACUUAACCUACGUCACGUUGCCGCUGCAUCGGAUUUUAACAGACAUCCUGGAAGUUCGGCAGAAGCCCAUCCUGAUGACCUAGCCGCGUGCGGAGCCUGUGCAGAGCCCCGGCCGGGCCCAGCCCUGGGAGUGCUGCCAAGUGCCUACCUGUC